GUCGACGUAGCUCAAUUGGUAGAGCAGCGGUCUCCAAAGCCACCGGUUGCAGGUUCAAGUCCUGCCGUCUUCGCCA
rnacentral:tRNA from 1 species